GAUGAACGCUGGCGGCGUGCCUAAUACAUGCAAGUCGAGCGAACAGACGAGGAGCUUGCUCCUUUGACGUUAGCGGCGGACGGGUGAGUAACACGUGGGUAACCUACCUAUAAGACUGGGAUAACUUCGGGAAACCGGAGCUAAUACCGGAUAAUAUUUCGAACCGCAUGGUUCGAUAGUGAAAGAUGGCUUUGCUAUCACUUAUAGAUGGACCUGCGCCGUAUUAGCUAGUUGGUAAGGUAACGGCUUACCAAGGCAACGAUACGUAGCCGACCUGAGAGAGUGAUCGGCCACACUGGAACUGAGACACGGUCCAGACUCCUGCGGGAGGCAGCAGUAGGGAAUCUUCCGCAAAGGGCGAAAGCCUGACGGAGCAACGCCGCGUGAGUGAUGAAGGUCUUCGGAUCGUAAAACUCUGUUAUUAGGGAAGAACAAACGUGUAAGUAACUGUGCACGUCUUGACGGUACCUAAUCAGAAAGCCACGGCUAACUACGUG
rnacentral:rRNA from 1 species